GUAAGCCCAUAUCUCUUCUUCAGGGUUCUCGACGAAACAAAAUAAACGAAGAUUAGGGCUUUUGCUGCAUUUGUCUAGAUCUUCCCUGGCGAUUCCUCUUCCGGUCUCCAUCGUUUAUGAUCAAAUCUUAAACACCCUGCGCACGUUUUCUGGCGAUGAAUCGCUUCAUCAUUCUGUAAUCUAUAGCUUCUGAUCGAUUCCUUUGCGCCAUUGCAGAGAUGGUUAUUCUGUUCCUGUCAUUAAACCCAACAUGAAGAUGACGACAUCUCAAGAUGAAUCAUGAAUUUGAGCGGACGAAACAGAUGCAUAAGAUGAAUCCUCAAGGUUUGCCAUUGACUUUAACAAAAAAGGGGUUUAUUUAACUUUGUCUUCUUCUUCUUCUUGAACCAGAACUGUCUUUAAUUCCUUUUUUUCUUUGCUGCCUUAUGUUUUAUGUUUUAUAAAUUUCUUGCUGACUGUUCGAUUGGAUUUGUUGUUCUUUUCAGUUUGUAAACUGUACAUUUGUUUAGUUCCUAUUGUUCUAUGAUACUGAAUGUUUCUAUCUACGAGGAGGAGCGAAAAUAAAAUUGAUCUCCGUGAAGAAGCUUCGGCACUAUGUCUACGGGAGAUGACAAUAAUGGUAAAUAAGGGUCAAGUUGGUUGCAUGAUCGAAGCUGUGAAACUGAUGAAUGAGAUUGAAGUUUAGUAUUCCUGAUAACAGUAGGAUAGCAUACAAUCAAAAUUUGCGUAUUUGAUGGCAUUCAGUUAUAGGACAGGAUUUAGAUAAGAAAAGACUUAUACACAUUACGAUAAGAAAAGCUUGAAAAGAACCCGCAUCACGAUGAAUUCUCUGGUAAGUUCUUUGAAGCAGCAUAAACUUAUACACAUUACGUUUACACAUAUAUGUUAGAAAGACUG